rnacentral:misc_RNA from 1 species
UCACUACUUGCGUAGGCAGUCCGGCUAGAGUCCCCACCACUACGUGCUGGUAACUAACCACAGGGGUUGCGCUCGUUGCGGGACUUAACCCAACAUUUCACAACACGAGCUGACGACAGCCAUGCACCACCUGUGCUACACCCUCGAAGGCGACCACGUUUCGGCGGCUUGCAGUAGCAUGUCAAGCCCUGGUAAGGUUCUUCGCGUUGCAUCGAAUUAAGCCACAUGCUCCACCGCUUGUGCGGGCCCCCGCCAAUUCCUUUGAGUUUCAACCUUGCGGUCGUAGUCCCCAGGCGGUUCACUUAAUGCGUUAGCUGCGGCACCGAGGGCAAAACCCCCGACACCUAGUGAACAUCGUUUAGGGCUGGGAAUAC